rnacentral:pre_miRNA from 1 species
GGCCGGCUCCUUAUUAACCUGAUCAGCCCCGGGGUUGCCUGUCUUAGCACUAACUCCGGGCCUGAAGAGGUUGACAAGAAGGGUC